rnacentral:rRNA from 1 species
GACGAACGCUGGCGGCGUGCCUAACACAUGCAAGUCGUACGGGACCGGGGGCAACUCCGGUUCAGUGGCAGAUGGGUGCGUAACACGUGAGGAACCUGUCCGGCGGCGGGGGAUAGCCGGCCCAACGGCCGGGUAAUACCGCAUACGCUCGUUCGGGGGCAUCCCUGGGCGAGGAAAGCAGCCGCAAGGUUGCGCCGACGGAGGGCCUCGCGGCCUAUCAGCUUGUUGGCGGGGUAACGGCCCACCAAGGCGACGACGGGUAGCUGGUCUGAGAGGA